GGCGCUGUGGCUUAGCUGGUCAAAGUGCCUGUCUUGUAAACAGUAGAUCCUGGGCUUGAAUCCCAGCAGCGCCU
rfam:Danio rerio chromosome 4, GRCz11 reference primary assembly.